rnacentral:rRNA from 1 species
GUGGGGAAUCUUCCGCAAUGGACGAAAGUCUGACGGAGCAACGCCGCGUGAACGAUGACGGCCUUCGGGUUGUAAAGUUCUGUUAUACGGGACGAAUGGUACGACGGCCAAUACCCGUCGUAAGUGACGGUACCGUAAGAGAAAGCCACGGCUAACUACGUGCCAGCAGCCGCGGUAAUACGUAGGUGGCAAGCGUUGUCCGGAAUUAUUGGGCGUAAAGGGCGCGCAGGCGGCGUCGUAAGUCGGUCUUAAAAGUGCGGGGCUUAACCCCGUGAGGGGACCGAAACUGCGAUGCUAGAGUAUCGGAGAGGAAAGCGGAAUUCCUAGUGUAGCGGUGAAAUGCGUAGAUAUUAGGAGGAACACCAGUGGCGAAAGCGGCUUUCUGGACGAUGUCUGACGCUGAGGCGCGAAAGCUAGGGGAGCGAACGGGAUUAGAUACCCUAGUAGUCC